UUCUUUCCUUGUUUACAAGAAAAUAGAUGACUCGAGUGUUACAAACUAUAGUUUUUAAGGAAUAAUGUGAAAUAAGUUAAUUUUUAUAGGAUAAAAAACUUAAUCAACAUGAUAACUUAAUAACAUUAGUCCUACCAGACACUAACUUAGUUUUAUAGAUGAUCCUGGAGCAAAGGCUGUAAUUUAACCUGAACCCAAAUUGGUCUCUGUUUUAAAUAUUGUCUUGAACCAAUAAGUUAAGAGGACUAACUGUUCUGGACGACAUUGCCAUCGAUAUCACUGCAGAUGAGAGAGAAAGAGAGACCAGAGUUGUGUACCCUGGAGGCAAUUACCAUACUGCUGUGAUAAUGUUCCUUGGUCUAACCAUAACUUAAGUGAGAGCUGAAGCCUACCAGUAAAAUGGGGGUGUUGUAAUUAAUAUCCUCCGACACUGGAGGAUACAGGGGAGAGGUGUCAGAGGAAGAGGAGUUUUAGGAUGGGGCCAGUAAGACUAAGAUUGAAGAAAACUAACUUAUGGCCUGAUGACAGGGUGGAUGGCAAUGGAGGCAUGGAGGUUGGGGGAGAGAAGGCUGAAGAAGUGAAGACAAAUCAGUUUAGAUUCAUUAUAAUGAUUAGUUUAAUAUUUAUUUUGAAUACCAGUAUACUUUUAUUUAAAUUUUUUCUCAUUUAGAUUAUUUAAUUAAGAAAAUUUUAUUAUUUUUAUAAAGAUGUUUUCUUAAAUUUUUAAUAUUUGUUUGUACUUCUGCCUGGUAAAAAACAAAACUGUUUAUUAUGUUUGUUAAAAUGAUUAGCCUACUUCCACUAAUGGACCUUGUC